CCUACGGGAGGCAGCAGUGAGGAAUAUUGGUCAAUGGGCGCGAGCCUGAACCAGCCAAGUCGCGUGAGGGAAGACGGUCCUAUGGAUUGUAAACCUCUUUUGUCGGGGAGCAAAAGACGCCACGCGUGGCGUUCCGAGAGUACCCGAAGAAAAAGCAUCGGAUAACUCCGUGCCAGCAGCCGCGGUAAGACGUAGGGGACGAGCGUUAUCCGGAUUUUCUGGGUGUAAAGGGAGCGUAGACGGUGCAGCAAGGCUGAUGGUAAAGGUAGGGGCCCAACCCCGGUCCUGAAUUGGAAUCGGUUGAACUGGAGUACAGGAGAUGUAAGCGGAAUGCCUAGUGUAGCGGUGAAAUGCGUAGAUAUUAGGAGGAACACCAGUGGCGAAGGCGGCUUACUGGACUGUAACUGACGUUGAGGCUCGAAAGCGUGGGGAGCAAACAGGAUUAGAUACCCGUGUAGUC
rnacentral:rRNA from 1 species